rnacentral:rRNA from 1 species
UACGGAGGGUGCGAGCGUUGUCCGGAUUUAUUGGGUUUAAAGGGUGCGUAGGCGGCCUUAUAAGUCCGGGGUGAAAGCCCGCUGCUCAACAGCGGAACUGCCCUGGAUACUGUGAGGCUUGAGUACAGACGAGGUUGGCGGAAUGGACUGAGUAGCGGUGAAAUGCAUAGAGACAGGCCAGAACACCGAUUGCGAAGGCAGCUGACUAGGCUGUUACUGACGCUGAGGCACGACAGCGUGGGGAGCGAACAGG